AGAGGAAAAUCACUAGAUGUGGGUGUGAGGCUAAACUUGCGGUAAAACGUAUGAUUGAGAAUACGUAUGUUGUGCCUCUUUUCAUAGAUUGUUGUUAAGUUCGUUUUAAAAUAUAAGUAUAAAAAUUCAACUCUUUUGUUUCAGGUUUGCUGGUGGCAGUAAAGACAUGUGAAGGUUUCAUAAACAAAGACUACUGCAGGAUGUUUGGAGCUGUAGUGGUGCACUGAUACAUUCUUCAGCUUGUACUCGAGUUAUGUCCGAUGUAUAAACGUGAGAUUUACUAUAACUGUUAAUGGCUAAUGAGUUAGUGAUGUGUCUAUGUUGUAACAAAACACCCUAGCAUAAUGCGGUUAACUACUGGAACGAGGCACUGGCAGUAAGAGGAAAUAUGAGAGGAAAAUCACUAGAUGUGGGUGUGAGGCUAAACUUGCGGUAAAACGUAUGAUUGAGAAUACGUUUGCUGGUGGCAGUAAAGACAUGUGAAGGUUUCAUAAACAAAGACUACUGCAGGAUGUUUGGAGCUGUAGUGGUGCACUGAUACAUUCUUCAGCUUGUACUCGAGUUAUGUCCGAUGUAUAAACGUGAGAUUUACUAUAACUGUUAAUGGCUAAUGAGUUAGUGAUGUGUCUAUGUUGUAACAAAACUCCCUAGCAUAAUGUGGCUAUCAUGCCUUAACUACUGUACAUGUUGUUGAAGUAUGCAGUACUGCAAGUGAAUACUGGGCUACUAAAAUUAGCUUCCUUCA